rnacentral:rRNA from 1 species
AAGCGGUGGAUGAUGUGGAUAAUUCGAUGCAACGCGAAGAACCUUACCUACCCUUGACAUGUCCGGAACUUGCCAGAGAUGGCUUGGUGCCCGAAAGGGAAUCGGAACACAGGUGCUGCAUGGCUGUCGUCAGCUCGUGUCGUGAGAUGUUGGGUUAAGUCCCGCAACGAGCGCAACCCUUAUCAUUAGUUGCUACGCAAGGGCACUCUAAUGAGACUGCCGGUGACAAACCGGAGGAAGGUGGGGAUGACGUCAAGUCCUCAUGGCCCUUAUGGGUAGGGCUUCACACGUCAUACAAUGGUCGGUACAGAGGGUUGCCAAGCCGCGAGGCGGAGCCAAUCCCACAAAGCCGAUCGUAGUCCGGAUUGUUCUCUGCAACUCGAGAGCAUGAAGUCGGAAUCGCUAGUAAUCGCAGGUCAGCAUACUGCGGUGAAUACGUUCCCGGGUCUU